rnacentral:lncRNA from 1 species
AGACACAGCCUUGCAAUAUCAUGUUUUCCAAUAAAACUUUGGAAGGAGGGGUCUAUAACUUUCCUUCGCCAGCCAGCGAUGUUCCAAGAGAGAAAUGUCAGCAAGAGGUCUUGUUGAUGAUUUGAAAUUCAGUCAGAAUUGAGUUUAUAAGAGGAAUGCAUAUUUUUUCCAGUUAUGGAACAGAAGGGUAUAUCCCAUUCUUGUAUGAUUGCUUGGUUUGUCCACAUUGUGUGGACAUACUGGUGAACUUGAAAGUCGUCCCCUUGAGCCACUGUAUCAGUGUAGUCCGCUACUAUCUUUUUGCUGGGGGGAAUUUUGCUUCUUUCUGGGGCCUGAUUUUCCUUCCUGGAUAUCUUAAUGGGGGUGAUAUCUAACUCUGCAGGUUCAAUCGUCUCCAUUGAUGGACUCCACCUGUAUACAUUGACUUCAUGCGAAUGGCAUAGUUGGAUACACCAAUUGCAUUCUUGAUGACUUUCUCAGGGGAACCAAUUUCCUCCUCAUCCAGUUGUCUCAUUUGGGUCCAGGGAGAAGACAGUCCUAGCCUGAAGUCAGCUGAGCCUAAAGCUUCAGCUUUGAAGAAUUGCUGUGCAGGGAAGCUGAACUUCUGGUCUGGGGUACACUUCAGCAGUCAUUGCCAGAACGUACUGACAGCUCCUUGCAGGGAAUGGAGAAAGUUGGAGUUAAUUGAGCAUUUCGAGGGAGACUGA